rnacentral:rRNA from 1 species
AUUGAACGCUGGCGGCAGGCCUAACACAUGCAAGUCGAACGAGUGGCGGACGGGUGAGUAAUUUCUGGGACACUGCCUGAUCUAGGGGUAUAACUACUGGAAACGUUAGCUAAUACCGCAUACCAUCGUAUGUGCCCACAUGGGAGUAUCUAGUAGGUGUGGUAAAGGCUCACCUAGGCGACGAUCCGUAGCUGGUCUGAGAGGAUUACCGGCCACACUGGAACUGAGACACGGUCCAGACUCCUACGGGAGGCAGCAGUGGGGAAUAUUGGACAAUGGGCGAAAGACUGAUGCAGCCAUGCCGCGUGUAUGAAGAAGGUCUUCGGGUUGUAAAGUACUUUCAGCAGGGAGGCGGUACCCACAGAAUAAGCACCGGCUAACUACGUGCCAGCAGCCGCGGUAAUAC